rnacentral:rRNA from 1 species
CUACAGGCUUAACACAUGCAAGUCGAGGGGUAGCAGGGUAGCAAUACCGCUGACGACCGGCGCACGGGUGAGUAACACGUAUCCAGCCUUCCCAUGACUCAGGGAUAGCCUUUCGAAAGAAAGAUUAAUACCUGAUAGUACUUUUUUAAGGCAUCUUGAAAAAGUUAAAGAUUUAUCGGUUAUGGAUGGGGAUGCGUUCCAUUAGAUUGUUGGUGAGGUAACGGCUCACCAAGUCUUCGAUGGAUAGGGGUUCUGAGAGGAAGGUCCCCCACAUUGGUACUGAGACACGGACCAAACUCCUACGGGAGGCAGCAGUGAGGAAUAUUGGUCAAUGGGCGAGAGCCUGAACCAGCCAAGUAGCGUGAAGGAUGACGG